GGAUGAGUGGCAGAGUGGUUGAAUGCACCGCACUCGAAAUGCGGCAUACUUUUAAAGGUAUCGGGAGUUCGAAUCUCCCCUCAUCCGCCA
rnacentral:tRNA from 1 species